rnacentral:rRNA from 1 species
GACGUAGGGGGCCAGCGUUGCUCGGAAUUACUGGGUGUAAAGGGUUCGUAGGCGGUGUGGCAAGUCGGGAGUGAAAUCUCUGGGCUCAACCCAGAGUCUGCUUCCGAAACUGCUGUGCUUGAGUGUGGGAGAGGUGAGUGGAAUUCCUGGUGUAGCGGUGAAAUGCGUAGAUAUCAGGAGGAACACCUGUGGCGAAAGCGGCUCACUGGACCACAACUGACGCUGAGGCGCGAAAGCUAGGGGAGCAAACAGG